rfam:Schistosoma haematobium scaffold487_29, whole genome shotgun sequence.
AUCUAGCUGACGAGUCGCAAAUAGAACGUAAAGGGUGUCCUGGAU